UAGCUCAGUUGGUAGAGCAGUUGACUUUUAAUCAAUUGGUCGCAGGUUCGAAUCCUGCACGACCCACCAUCUUUAGCAUCGAACGUCGGUGUUAAACGUGAAGGAUAACGUUGCUUCAGCUACGGCCCGAAGGGCGAGCGAAGCGAGUCAUCCUGCACUCCAAUCA
rnacentral:sRNA from 1 species